AGUAUAUAAUAACACAAUGUCUUAUCUGAGAAAUAACUGAUGAAACAUCAAGAAAAUUCCUCUAGAUAGUCAAGUUCUGAUGCAG